UAAUGAUUUUCAGACUAGGCAAUUGGAGUC
rnacentral:piRNA from 1 species